AAAAGUGUGUUUCUGGUCGACAUUUUCACCAGACAAGGAAAGGUUCUUCUCUUGAACCCUAAAUUACAAAGAAAUGCUCAAAUCAAAGGGGAAAUCAAGCUAAAAAUUGGGGCUUUUUUUAAAUUCGUGAUCACCAAGUCAUGGGGAUCACAAGUUGAAGGAUACUCGUAUCUGAAGAUGGCGAGAGUGUAACAAGUGACAGACAUGACAGAGGAACGGUCCGAAGUACGACAAGUAGAGUAUGCUCAUGAAGGACCUAAAUCGCGUGAUGACCGCGAACAAGGUUAAUGACAUGGAAAGCCCAUUACGGCAAGCAUUACCAGGUGCACGCUUUUAAAUUAAAUCGCACAAAUAGUAAUAUGCAACAAACAUGUAGAGAAUGACGGUUGCAUACGUAGGAUAAAACUUGGGAAACCUGAAUAGGAUAUCUAUUCAGGAUGAUGUUUCUAAGUGAAAACAAAUAGAAACAUGUGUUAUUCACGAUUUUGAAUAACAAGACAAUAAUAGAAAUAGUUUAUGUGAAAACUUGGACGGGAAUAAAUAUCAAAGUGAAUAAUUCUCAAUAUAAUACUAUUGAAGAAAAAAAGUAGCGAUCACAUUAACGAAUUUGAUGAUAUAAUAGCUAGGUAAAAAGGAAAACAUUUUAUAUGUUCAAAGAAUAAAACGGGUAAAACUAAUAAUUGAUAAAUAACAAUUAAAUAAAGUUUUACCAACUGAAACCAAAGAUAUGGAAAUAAACAGAGACGUUACUUACAAAGGGUGUAAUGUGAAAAUUAUAAAAAAGUCAUGUGUGUCAUGUGUUUAUCGCUUACUCUGGCCAAGUAAGUAGUGAACACAUGAUGUCAUGAACUUCUUAUGAUGGACACAUUUACGUCCGAUGUAGUAAGGAUGGGGUGAAUAGGACGAAAAAAAAAGGUACCCAAAUGAAUCAAACAAAUAAGAUGUUUGAUAAUAAACGUAAACGCAAGUCGGAGGACGGAAGCGUAUUACGUUAGGACAAUGAGCCCGAGAGAAGUGACAAAGAUCAAGGUAAAUGAAAAUACAAACCGAUUGAUAGGAAUGCUAAGGUAUAGGGAUAAAAGUUUGACUGUCACAAGUGAUGAAAUUCACACGGACAAGUCAAACGAAUUAAAUAAAGAAUAAAGGACGUGAUUGAAUAAAAGCGAUGGAUUUCGCUAAGACGACUAAAUAAGUUAAAACGAAGUCUAAAAUCAUAUUAGAAUGAUUACUUUGAAAAUGACUUCGGUAAAUAUACCCGAUAGAUGAGUAUGAUUUUAAGAAUAUGCGUAAACUAAGAGACGAGAACGCGGAUUAGAAAGUCAAAAGACUCGGAUUAUGGGUCAUGACUAAAAGACGAUAAGAUUUUGCAAAUAGAAAUUUUUGAUAAUUAUGUUCAACUAUUUUAAAGUGAACGGGUCGAACAAAGAACGAAGUUUGACGUUCAUAAGUGACGAAGUUUCACUCAAACAAGUCAAACGAGAUUAAUAAAGAAUAACGCUUGAAAAUGAAAGUAAGCGCAAGCUGAAUAAUGAAAGCGCGAAAUAUUAAUGAACCUAUGUGAUAGGCCGUAAAAGAGUAUAGAAAGGAAAACGCAAACCAGUGAAACUAGAGUGUUAAAAACAUUAAGAUAAAGAACACGGGUAACGGUUCGAAAGGAAAUAGAGGCGUAAACUGAAUAACGAUAAGAGUAGGACAAACCGACGUGCAAAUGACGGAAGAAGUCAUAGAGUCGGAAGAAUAAUUCGAAAGAAAAUAAAUGUAGCCUUAGACUACGGUCAAGGUCAAAUGAAAUACAAAAGCGAAAAUAAAUUAUUCUAAACGUAAAAAGGGUACCUUUACACCCUAAAUGUAUAUAUACAGUUGAAUAAAGAUACAAAUAAAAGAGGAUCUACGGGAUCAUCAUAACCUACGGGAUUAUAAGUAGUGUUAAAGUUUAACGGGACCAAAAAGACCUUCGGGUCACAAAUAGAAAGAAACGAAUUGUAGGGGUCUCACCUUAAAACGGUAAAAAGGUGAAAAUCUAAAUAAAUAGCCUACGAGGCUAAGUGAAAGAACCUACGGGUCAUAUGGGUUAAGCGUGGGAAUUGGUUAUAAUUCCCCGCAUUAAAUAAUAACGGAAAGGAAUAGAUCAUCGGAAGUAGCAUUCCUAGGAAUAAGAGAAAGAU
rnacentral:lncRNA from 1 species